rnacentral:rRNA from 1 species
GACGAACGCUGGCGGCGUGCUUAACACAUGCAAGUCGAACGGUAAGGCCCUUCGGGGUACACGAGUGGCGAACGGGUGAGUAACACGUGGGUGAUCUGCCCUGCACUUCGGGAUAAGCCUGAGAAACUGGGUCUACUACCGGUUAGGACCACUGCCUGCAUGGGUGGGGGUGGAAAGCUUUUGCGGUGUGGGAUGGGCCCGCGGCCUAGCAGGUUGUGGGUGGGGUGAUGGCCUACCAAGGCGACGCCGGGUAGCCGGCCUGAGAGGGUGACCGGCCACACUGGGACUGAGAUACGGCCCAGACUCCUACGAGAGGCAGCAGUGGGGAAUAUUGCACAAUGGGCGCAAGCCUGAUGCAGCGACGCCGCGUGAGGGAUGACGGCCUUCGGGUUGUAAACCUCUUUCAGCACCGACGAAGCGCAAGUGACGGUAGGUGCAGAAGAAGGACCGGCCAACUACGUGCCAGCAGCCGCGGUAA